CCUGCUCGCAUUUGCUGCUGGGAAACUUGUCUUUGUUGUUCUCCUUUUUCCAUUUCAUCCUCCUGUUCUGGAACCAGAUUUUGACCUGCCUCUCUGUCAAUCCCAGGGCGUGCGAGACCUCGAUCCUCCGUUUGCGGGUCAGAAACGCGCUCUCCAGGCGCUUGUGCUGCAAUAAAACCUCAAAAGAAUUCGGAGGGGGAAUCGCAGGAAUUGUCGUGGAAAAAGGAGCCGCGUGUGGGAGCCGAGGAACGCGAGGAAAAACCGAGGGGUCGCAAAACAUCGAGGAAAACGCGGCUGGAAAUGAAAAUAAAGAGGAUUUUCGGCAAAUCCGUGAAGAAUUCGAGAACCAACCCGACCUGGAAAAAUUCCGCCCAGCUCCAAAUCAGUUCCCACCCGUUUGAUUUUAUUUAAUAUUUUUUGUUGUUGUUGUUUAAUAAAUCAGAUUUUAGAGGACCCGCCCUGCUGCCUCCAAAAUGGAAUUAUUUCAAUUCAAGUUUUUGAACCCAGAGCGGAGUUUGGGGGCGCUGAGCUCCCUCCGGCAGCAGAAGGGUUAAAUUUGGGAGCAGAAGGAAUAAAAGUUUCACAGGAGAAAAGUCCGGGCAGCAAAAAGAAAACCAAAACCCAAAAACUCCAAACCAAUUUUCUGGGGAUGCUCUCAAACCCCGCAGCUCUGGUUUCUCCUCCGGGGAAAGGUUUUUUUUAAUAUUUUUUUUUAAUAUUUUUUAAAUAUUUUUAACCCUUUUUUGAGGGUUUGGAGCGGAAAUUUCAGGGGCAGCUCCUCGGGUUUUAUCUCGGGAUCGCGGAGGGAGGGGGAAGGAAAAAAAAGCAAAAAUAAAUAAAU